UACGUAGGGAGCAAGCGUUGUCCGGAAUCAUUGGGCGUAAAGCGCGCGUAGGUGGCCCCAUAAGUCCGCUGUGAAAGUCAAAGGCUCAACCUUUGAAAGCCGGUGGAUACUGUGGGACUAGAGUACGGAAGAGGCGAGUGGAAUUCCUGGUGUAGCGGUGGAAUACGCAGAUAUCAGGAGGAACACCAAUAGCGAAGGCAGCUCGCUGGGACGUUACUGACACUGAGGCGCGAAAGCGUGGGGAGCGAACAGG
rnacentral:rRNA from 1 species